UCCAAAGUAACAUGAGCAAAGUUCUAGUCACGCCAUAGUUUGUGGCUGCCAAAAUGUGGACACGGAAGCAGUUAUUUUAAAACUUGAUAAGCAACACAGCAUUUUGCAGAACUAUGGAAUAAAAGGAAUAUUGUGAGUUGCCCAACUGGGAAAGCAUUUGCAAGAUUAUCGACAUCCUGAUCAUUGAAUGCUCCUUACCUGAUCACAGGAUGUAUAAUAUAGCAAUUGAGUGCUUAGAAAAGUACUGACCACUACCACCAUGGUUUCCACCUCCUGGCAGCUUCUCCCUGAGGACACUGGUGAGCAGUGAGGAGGAUGUGGAGUCUAGAGCUGCCAGCACAGGUGACCCUCAGAGCCUGUUUGUCAAGUGCACCUGCCACCUGAAGAUAGCUUCUUUUGUGUUUCAGGGGUUUCAACAAAUAGUGGCUAUUCCUUUUCAAAAAUGGAAAGCAACAGCAUAGAUAAUGAGAAUGCUCCUCACAGCCUGCCUGCUCCUCAGAAGGCAGAUACUGAACAUUUUGUUAUGUUAACUAAAACGGAACAAGAGAUGAACAAAAUGAAACUUCUCUUGAAAACUUGUGAUCAGGUAGAACAUCUCAGUGGCCAUUUAAGCUACUUAGUCAAAUAGCUCACUUUCUACCCUUUUGUCUAAGUUGGUAACUCUCACCUUGCUAUUUUCAUUUCUGCCCAAAGGUUGAAUUCUAUUGUACAGCUAACUCUCUACAGCACGUUGUUACUAUGUCCUAGUUUCACAUGGAGCUCAAUAAACUUGGAAUUAAACUUAUUUGGUUUCUCCAUUUGGUUUCCCCAUUGUAGU